UGAAUCCACGUUGAAUAGCUUUGCUGAGAAUGGAUCACAAGUCUGGUACAUGAACAUUUUUGUAAAUAAUCAUCAGAAAUGGAUUCAUCUUAUCACAAACAAACAAGGUUAAUUCUCUAACAUUUGUAAUUUGUAAUUGUAUUCACAAGCAUAUUUUCUUCUGGAAACUUAUAUUCCAUGUUUGUGGCAGGUAUCUUCCAACCAAAAAGAGAAAUAAAUAGUAAGGUUUGAGCAAAAUACUGACUGCACAGAUGAUAGAUUUGACAGCAGAAGCGCAGGAAGAGUGAGAAAUGUUCAUAGCCUCAAACUGCUUCUGCAGCUGCACAUCUUGUGCUCUACUGCAACACACUUUCCCAUUGUACG
rnacentral:lncRNA from 1 species